rnacentral:rRNA from 1 species
AAUAGAUACCCAGGUAGUCCACGCCGUAAACGAUGAGUGCUAAGUGUUAGGGGGUUUCCGCUCCUUAGUGCUGCAGCUAACGCAUUAAGCACUCCGCCUGGGGAGUACGGCCGCAAGGCUGAAACUCAAAGGAAUUGACGGGGGCCCGCACAAGCGGUGGAGCAUGUGGUUUAAUUCGAAGCAACGCGAAGAACCUUACCAGGUCUUGACAUCUCCUGACCGCCCUGGAGACAGGGUCUUCCCUUCGGGGACAGGAUGACAGGUGGUGCAUGGUUGUCGUCAGCUCGUGUCGUGAGAUGUUGGGUUAAGUCCCGCAACGAGCGCAACCCUUGUCCUUAGUUGCCAGCAUUCAGUUGGGCACUCUAAGGAGACUGCCGGCUAAAAGUCGGAGGAAGGUGGGGAUGACGUCAAAUCAUCAUGCCCCUUAUGACCUGGGCUACACACGUGCUACAAUGGGCGGUACAGAGGGUCGCGAACCCGCAAGGGGGAGCCAAUCCCAAAAACCGCUCUCAGUUCGGAUUGCAGGCUGC